UACGGAGGGGGCUAGCGUUGUUCGGAAUUACUGGGCGUAAAGCGCGCGUAGGCGGCUUCGCAAGUCAGAGGUGAAAGCCCGGGGCUCAACCCCGGAAUUGCCUUUGAGACUGCGUCGCUAGAAUCCGGGAGAGGUGAGUGGAAUUCCGAGUGUAGAGGUGAAAUUCGUAGAUAUUCGGAAGAACACCAGUGGCGAAGGCGGCUCACUGGACCGGCAUUGACGCUGAGGUGCGAAAGCGUGGGGAGCAAACAGG
rnacentral:rRNA from 2 species